AUGCACGCUUGCGGCGUGCCUAAUACAUGCAAGUCGAGCGAACAGACGAGGAGCUUGCUCCUCUGACGUUAGCGGCGGACGGGUGAGUAACACGUGGAUAACCUACCUAUAAGACUGGGAUAACUUCGGGAAACCGGAGCUAAUACCGGAUAAUAUAUUGAACCGCAUGGUUCAAUAGUGAAAGACGGUUUUGCUGUCACUUAUAGAUGGAUCCGCGCCGCAUUAGCUAGUUGGUAAGGUAACGGCUUACCAAGGCAACGAUGCGUAGCCGACCUGAGAGGGUGAUCGGCCACACUGGAACUGAGACACGGUCCAGACUCCUACGGGAGGCAGCAGUAGGGAAUCUUCCGCAAUGGGCGAAAGCCUGACGGAGCAAGGCCGCGUGAGUGAUGAAGGUCUUCGGAUCGUAAAACUCUGUUAUUAGGGAAGAACAAAUGUGUAAGUAACUAUGCACGUCUUGACGGUACCUAAUCAGAAAGCCACGGCUAACUACGUG
rnacentral:rRNA from 1 species